CGUGUAUAUAGCUUCUGUAAACUAGACUUCAUACAAAACAAUACAUUUAAAAAUAUAUGCACUAUACCGUACAGUCUUUCAGUCUUACAUCUUGCAUUUUGAUUAUUAUUAUUAAGUUAUUUGACGCAAAAUGCCAGGAGUAUGAUGAUCAGUGAUUAUGCUUGUAAAUCAGAACACAUGCUUAUUCAAAAUAAUAAGACCAGUGCUUCUCUGUUCAAAAUGUGCAAUACAAAAUCAUUCUAAGUUUAAUUAAUGUAAAAAGAUGACCGAACUACAUUCGGAAAGUAUUUAUCGCCGUUUCAUUUUGACAUAGGUCUACUGAAAAAAAACGACACAUUCUGUGGACUUACCUAACAGUGCCUAAUUUUAUAUAACAAUUCUGGCAAGUAUUUUAACUAUCACGUGUGUGCCAUUUUGUCUCGACAGCUCAUUAAGUACUAUAGAAAACAGUUUAAUUGAGUUUUGAAAGGCCCGAGAAUAAACGAGUUUAACCGUGGGUCUUAAACCCGGAUUAGGCCGGUAAAGGCCUCACUUUUCCACAACGCAUAACUCUUAAUCCCCUUGCACCAAACGUGCCUCUGAGGAACGCACAGGGAGGUGAGUAACAUGAACCUCAUUUAGUGCAACAUUCAUAAUGUUUGCAAGGUGUGAUUGUCGGACGUUUAAGUAAUAGUUUCUCCACGAUAAUUAGCAGAAAGACACAAAUACAAAAUCGGUGGCUCCGAGACAAGACGCUCCGCCUCUUCGUCAACUCAUGACAAAUUCCGCGCCGUGUGUUGGAAAGCUUUCAGCAGUAAUUUAGGGCCCGAGUACAACGGAAACCUGCGAUUGGUACCUGGAAAGUAAUGAUUUUAAUGCAAUUUGUAGGGUCUACAUAAUGCGACCUCCUUUUUACUCUCUUUUUUUAACACAACAGAGCGAAACUGGUCAACCAAGAUGAAGAGGUAGCGCAAGAUGCAGCUAAAAACAACGAUUUCUGUGUAACAACAGAUUCAGAAUAAGUGUAUCUAUGUCUAGUCGGGCACUGCGGCCCGCGGCCCGCACCCCCCUCCCUCAGGGUUACCGCACAGACUUGGCUGUGCGGUCGACUUCAAGUUCGGGGAGGGGGACGGGCUACCGCCCACCGUGCAAGUCUGAAAAAAAGAGAAUGAACAACAAACGCCACGCAAGCCACUCUAUGCCCCGGAUGGAGUUUCACAAACGUCGCUUUCACAUCAGGGAACUUUACAAAGGAACGACAGAGAGCAAUAUAAUGUGACAAGUAGGGAAAACAGGCACUUGGGGGAAAAAAAAAACAAAAACAAAAAAAAAAAAAAAAAAACGAA